rnacentral:rRNA from 1 species
UACAGAGGUCCCCAAGCGUUGUUCGGAUUCACUGGGCGUAAAGGGUGCGCAGGUGGGUUGGCAAGUUCGAUGUGAAAGCCCCGGGCUUAACCCGGGAAUGGCAUUGAAAACUGUCGAUCUGGAGGGUUGGAGGGGGGACUGGAAUUCUUGGUGUAGCAGUGAAAUGCGUAGAUAUCAAGAGGAACACCAGUGGCGAAGGCGAGUCCCUGGACAAUACCUGACACUGAGGCACGAAAGCUAGGGGAGCAAACAGGAUUAGAAACCCGGGUAGU